rnacentral:rRNA from 1 species
CUACGGGCGCUGCAGUGAGGAAUUUUGCGCAAUGGGGGCAACCCUGACGCAGCAACGCCGCGUGAGUGAAGAAGGCCCUUGGGUCGUAAAGCUCUGUCAAUGGGGAAGAAGUUAUUAUGUGUUAAUAGCACAUUUUAUUGACGGUACCCAUGAAGGAAGCACCGGCUAACUCCGUGCCAGCAGCCGCGGUAAUACGGGGGGUGCAAGCGUUAUUCGGAAUUAUUGGGCGUAAAGGGCACGCAGGCGGUCCUGUCAGUCAGAUGUGAAAGCCCAGGGCUCAACCCUGGACGUGCAUUUGAAACAGCAGGACUUGAGUACGGGAGAGGAAAGGGGAAGUCCUGGUGUAGAGGUGAAAUUCGUAGAUAUCAGGAGGAACACCGGUGGCGAAGGCGCCUUUCUGGACCGAUACUGACGCUGAGGUGCGAAGGCGUGGGUAGCGAACGGGAUUAGAUACCCGCGUAGUC